AUGGCGGCGCCGGGAGCUAAACCCCUGGCCCGGCUCGGCCCCGGGAGGAGAGUCCCCAACCUUUACAUCCCCCCCCCCACCGCGGCGGGGAGAUGGUAUCGUCCGGCCAGGGGGCGUGGUCAAGGGCGGCAGAGGGCGGGGCGCCUUCCCGGUGGCGCGCCGCCAUGGCUACCGUGGCAACGCCCUGCCUCGGUAGGAAUGGCGGCCGGGAGGGGGCGGGGCCUCGCGCCUCGGGAGCGGGGGGGCAGCGACCCGCGGGAACCGGGACCCACGGGAACCGGGACCCACAGGAACCGGGACCAGUGGGAACUGGGACCCACGGGAACCCGGACCCACGGCCACGGCCACCCCAUGGGAACCGGGACCCGUGGGAACCGGGACCCACAGGCACAGUCACCCCGUGGGAACCGGGAUCGGCGGGAACCGGGACCCACAGCCACAGCUGCCCCAUGGGAACCUGCCCCAUGGGAACCCACAGGAACCGGGACCCACAGCCACGGCCGUCACAUGGGAACCGGAACCCAUGGGAACCGGGACCCACAGGAACCAGGCCCCACAGCCCCCAUCACCCCACACCCACGGUUGCCCCAUGGCCACGGUCACCCCAUGGGAACCAGGCCCCACAGCCAUGGUCACCCCACAGUCACUGGGCCCCGUGACCACGGUCACCCCACGGGAAGCAGGUCCCAUGGCCUGUCGCCCCACGGCCACGGUCACCCCAUGGCCACCCAAAGGAACCGGGCCCCACGGCCGCCCCACGACCGCCCCACGGCCUCCCUCCAGCCCCACGGCUCCCCACAGCACCCCCAUGGCCACCUGCUGCAGCCGGACCCCUCCGCCCCACAUCCCCGUGUGCCCCACGGCCGCCCUGCUCGGCCGAGCAGGUGGAGAGGGGCCAGCGACCCCCCCCCGCACACGCGUGUCCCCAUGCACAGGUGUGUCCCUGUGCACAUGUAUGACCCCAUGCACACGUGUGUCCCCGUGCACGUGCAGCCCCAUGCACACAUGGCCCCAUGCACACGUGUGUCCCCGUGCACACGUGUGUCCCCAUGCACCUGUGUGUCCCUGUGCACAUGUGUGUCUUCGUGCACAUGCAUAUCCCCAUACACAUGUGGCCCUGUGCACACUCAUGUCCCCGUGCACACGUGGCCCUGUGCACAUGUGUGGCCCUGUGCACACGUGUGUGUCCAUGCACACGCAUGUCCCCAUGCACAUGUGUGGCCCCAUGCACCUGUGGCCCCAUGCACAUGUGUCCCCGUGCACAUGUGUGUCCCUGUGCACACGCAUGUCUCCAUGCACACGUGUCCCUGUGCACACGCAGCCCCGUGCACACGCGCGUCCCCGCGCACACGCGCGCCGCCGGGCGCCCUCCGUGGUGGCAGCGGCGCCGUCUCCCCGGCGGCGGCGGCGGCAGCGGCGGCGGCUUCCCAGCGGGUUCCUUCCCUUGUGUCACUGUGUUUUCCUCAAACACGCCCACGCUGUCCUUAUGGGAACCAACAAUUACGGGCGGCUGCCGCGCCGGGCACACGCACACACGGGCACACGCACACGCAAGGCCCCGCCGCCCCCCGGGCGCCCCCGGCCGCUGCCCCGGCCCCACCGGCCGCCCCCCCUCCGCGGCCUCCGGAGACGGGAGGUUUCACCCCACGGGAAGUGCAAAAUCCUCGGAGCGAAGCGGGAGCAAAACCCCGGCUCCUGCCUCCUGCUUCCCCCCACACACACCCCCGAUCCGGGACCGGAGCCCAAGCGCUGCCCCUCGCUCCGGGCUCGGAGCGGCCCCGUGCUGGAGACGCAUCCAUCCGUCCAUCCGUCCGUCCGCAGGGAUGGAGCUGGCACCCGGCUUUGCCCCUCGGCUCUGCCACGGCUGCGACAAACCACGGACACGUGGCCUGGGCAAAGCAGGUGGCACCUCCGCUAACGAGGUGGCAUCGGCGCUAA
ensembl:lncRNA